GUAGUGGGAUGACAGGCUGAGAGCGGCGAUUCUGCCGUUUUUAGCCAGUCUUUCUAUCAUGUUUCGCGCACAACUUUUUAACAUACCUUUUUUUUAUAUCAAAACCCAACCCAAUAACACAAUAAAAAAACAAACAUAACAAACAAACAAAAAAACUCGUGACGGUGGAUGUCUAGGCUCCAGCAACGAUGAAGAACGCAGCAAAAUGCGAUACGUAGUGCGAAUUGCAGAAUCCGUGAAUCAUCGAAUCUUUGAACGCAAGUUGCGCUCGCGGGCAAUCCUGCGAGCAUGUCUGUUUGAGUGUCCGCACAAAUGAGACUUUUGCUUCUUUCCAACAGGGAAAGGAGCUGCUGAUGGGUGUUUUCUGUCCAAAUGUGCUUUUGAAAGGCACUGGUGCAGAACUUUUCCGUGCAACCCGAAAGGGGGAAGCGGUCACCUGAAGAAUAGCUUUGUAUGGGAUGUUGUUGUGUUGAUUCUUUUUGUGCAAGUUUAUGGCUUGGUGCAGAGCGGUUGUGGAAGGUGCAACCGCAGGAUCGACUAGACUAUGCUUUCCCCGCAGGAGUAGAAAUACUGUGUGAUGGGGAAUGGCAGAAGGAUGGUUGAUUUGGGGCAAAAUGCCCUCUGUACGUUUGCUUGCUUGUUUGACGAAAGAGAGACUAGACUUCAUUGUAACAUAAAACACUAUAACCACAUUUGGUCUCAAAUCAGACAAGACGACCCGCUGAAUUAA
rnacentral:rRNA from 1 species